CAAGUCGAACGCGAAAGUUCCCUUCGGGGAGCGAGUAGAGUGGCGCACGGGUGAGUAACACGUAGGUAAUCUACCUUCGGAUGGGGAAUAACAACCGGAAACGGUUGCUAAUACCGCAUAAUGCAGCGGCACCUAAUGGUGACAGUUGUUAAAGCGGGGGAUCGCAAGACCUCGCGUCUGAAGAGGAGCCUGCGGCGGAUUAGCUAGUUGGUAAGGUAAUGGCUUACCAAGGCUACGAUCCGUAACCGGCCUGAGAGGGCGGUCGGUCACACUGACACUGACAUACGGGUCAGACUCCUACGGGAGGCAGCAGUCGGGAAUUUUGGGCAAUGGGCGAAAGCCUGACCCAGCAACGCCGCGUGAAGGAUGAAAUCCCUCGGGAUGUAAACUUCGCAAGAACGGGAAGAAUAAGCGAGAGUUAAUAUCUUUCGUGAUGACGGUACCGUUUGUAAGCUCCGGCUAACUCCGUGCCAGCAGCCGCGGUAAUACGGGGGGAGCAAGCGUUGUUCGGAUUUACUGGGCGUAAAGGGCGCGUAGGCGGCCAGCGCAAGUCAGUUGUGAAAUCUCCGGGCUUAACUCGGAAAGGUCAACUGAUACUGCGCGGCUAGAGUGCAGAAGGGGCAACUGGAAUUCUUGGUGUAGCGGUGAAAUGCGUAGAUAUCAAGAGGAACACCUGCGGCGAAGGCGGGUUGCUGGGCUGACACUGACGCUGAUGCGCGAAAGCCAGGGGAGCGAACGGGAUUAGAUACCCCGGUAGUCCUGGCCUUAAACGAUGAAUGCUUGGUGUCUGGGGUUAUAAAGUC
rnacentral:rRNA from 1 species